CGCUAUCAUCCUACGGGAGGCAGCAGUGGGGGAAUAUUGCACAAUGGGCGCAAGCCUGAUGCAGCCAUGCCGCGUGUAUGAAGAAGGCCUUCGGGUUGUAAAGUACUUUCAGCAGUGAGGAAGGCGGGUGCGUUAAUAGCGUGCUCGUUUGACGUUUAGCUGCAGAAGAAGCACCGGCUAACUCCGUGCCAGCAGCCGCGGUAAUACGGAGGGUGCGAGCGUUAAUCGGAAUUACUGGGCGUAAAGCGCAUGCAGGUGGUUUGUUAAGUCAGAUGUGAAAGCCCGGGGCUCAACCUCGGAAUUGCAUUUGAAACUGGCAGACUAGAGUACUGUAGAGGGGGUAGAAUUUCAGGUGUAGCGGUGAAAUGCGUAGAGAUCUGAAGGAAUACCGGUGGCGAAGGCGGCCCCCUGGACAGAUACUGACACUCAGAUGCGAAAGCGUGGGGAGCAAACAGGAUUAGAUACCCUGGUAG
rnacentral:rRNA from 1 species